rnacentral:rRNA from 1 species
CCGUUGUGCCUUGCCUCCCGACGACUCGGCCGCGUCGAACCUCAGGACGAACGCUGGCGGCGUGCUUAACACAUGCAAGUCGAACGGGGUGUUUAGUUUCGGUUAAACACCAAGUGGCGAACGGGUGAGUAACGCGUAAGCAAUCUACCUUCAAGAUCGGGGACAACACUUCGAAAGGGGUGCUAAUACCGAAUGAAUGUAAGAGUAUCGCAUGAUCAGCUUAUAAAAGGCGGCGUAAGCUGUCCGCUAUGGGAUGGCCCCGCGGUGCAUUAGCUAGUUGGUAAGGUAACGGCUUACCAAGGCAAUGAUGCAUAGCCGAGUUGAGAGACUGAUCGGCCACAUUGGGACUGAGACACGGCCCAAACUCCUACGGGAGGCAGCAGUAGGGAAUCUUCCACAAUGGACGCAAGUCUGAUAGGAGCAACGCCGCGUGAGUGAAGAAGGUUUUCGGAUCGUUAAAGCUCUGUUGUUGGUGAAGAAGGAUAGAGGUAGUAACUGGCCUUUAUUUGACGGUAAUCAACCAGAAAGUCACGGCGUCGACGCGGCCG